CCCCCGCGGGCCCCGCCCCCUCGAUAACUACCUCGAGUUCCUGGAGGUGCUGACAGAGGGGCUGGGGCCGGUGCUGCUGGUGCGGGGAGGGGACAGGGACAGCCCUGGCCCCUGAGUGCACCAGUACAGACCAGUGCUCCCAGCACACACCCCAGCGCUCCCAGUACGAUUCCAGCCUGAGCCGCAGCUCUUCAAGCAUGAUCCCAGUAUGGUCCCUGCACUUCCCAGUAUGGACCCAGCGGCUCUGCCAGUACGGACCAAGCCACUGCUCUCCAAGUAAGGUCCCAUGAUGGACCAGUGCUCCCAGUAUGGACUCUAAGGCUCCCAGUUAAAUGCCAGCCUGAGCUAAAGCAGGAUCCCAGUACGGACCCCAGUGCUCCCAGUUGAGCACCACCAUUCCCAGUCCAGAUCCAGGCCUUUACCAGCCCCAUUGGCUGCUCCACUCCCAGUUACUCACCCACUGGUCCCAGUUCACUCCAGUCCCGCAGCCUCACUGGGACACGGCUCCCAUCGGGAAGGGACCAGACCCCAUCCAGCCCCGGCCGAGGACACGCAGACCCCGGAGCCCCUCCCCCCGCUCCCCACGUGCAAUAAAGGCCUCACUCAUUA